CCGGCGACCGGCGCACGGGUGAGUAACACGUAUGCAACCUGCCCUCUUCAGGGGGACAACCUUCCGAAAGGGAGGCUAAUCCCGCGUAUAUCGGUUUCGGGCAUCCGAGAUCGAGGAAAGAUUCAUCGGAAGAGGAUGGGCAUGCGGCGCAUUAGCUAGACGGCGGGGUAACGGCCCACCGCGGCGACGAUGCGUAGGGGUUCUGAGAGGAAGGUCCCCCACACUGGUACUGAGACACGGACCAGACUCCUACGGAAGGCAGCAG
rnacentral:rRNA from 1 species